rnacentral:rRNA from 12 species
CAGUGGGGAAUAUUGCACAAUGGGGGAAACCCUGAUGCAGCCAUGCCGCGUGUGUGAAGAAGGCCUUCGGGUUGUAAAGCACUUUCAGUUGUGAGGAAAAGUUAGUCGCUAAUAUCGGCUAGCCUUGACGUUAGCAACAGAAGAAGCACCGGCUAACUCCGUGCCAGCAGCCGCGGUAAUACGGAGGGUGCGAGCGUUAAUCGGAAUUACUGGGCGUAAAGCGCACGCAGGCGGUUUGUUAAGCUAGAUGUGAAAGCCCCGGGCUCAACCUGGGAUGGUCAUUUAGAACUGGCAGACUAGAGUCUUGGAGAGGGGAGUGGAAUUCCAGGUGUAGCGGUGAAAUGCGUAGAUAUCUGGAGGAACAUCAGUGGCGAAGGCGACUCCCUGGCCAAAGACUGACGCUCAUGUGCGAAAGUGUGGGUAGCGAACAGGAUUAGAUACCCUGGUAGUCCACACCGUAAACGAUGAGAGCUAGUUGUCUGCAGGCAUGCCUGUAGGUGACGCAGCUAACGCAUUAAGCUCUCCGCCUGGGGAGUACGGCCGCAAGGUUAAAACUCAAAUGAAUUGACGGGGGCCCGCACAAGCGGUGGAGCAUGUGGUUUAAUUCGAUGAUACGCGAGGAACCUUACCAGGGCUUAAA